rnacentral:misc_RNA from 1 species
AAUCUGAGAAGUAGGUUGACAUCUCCCAUUGCUCCUGGCUCCACCACUACCAUACCAAUGCCGGAUUCUGCCAAGGUUAAAGAGCACAAUACGCCUCCAGUUCAGCCAACCAGCACUCCUCUGCCUACCCUUGCACAACCUGUGGUUUCUUUUGCUCCAAUGAAAACUACGGAUGAGGAGAGCAAGAAAGCCGCUGCAGCAGCUGUGGCUGCAAAGCUUGCUGCCUCUACAUCCUCUGCACAGAUGCUUACCUCUGUUCUUUCAUCUCUUGUAGCUGAGGAAGCUGCCUCCAUGAAUGGUGG